rnacentral:rRNA from 1 species
AGCAGCCGCGGUAAUUCCAGCUCCAAUAGCGUAUAUUAAAGUUGUUGCAGUUAAAAAGCUCGUAGUUGAAUUUCGGAAUUUGUCGGUUGGUCGGGCUUCACUGUCCGCACUGACCUGAUGGAUUCCUACCUUCUGAAUAACCAGCAUGCUAUUAAGUUAGUGCGUUGGGGAAGCAGAGCUAUUACCUUGAAAAAUUAGAGUGCUUAAAGCAGGCUUGUGCUUGAAUAGAUUAGCAUGGAAUAAUAAAAUAGGACGGCAUGGUUCUAUUUUGUUGGUUUCUAGGAUCACCGUAAUGAUUAAUAGGGAUAGUUGGGGGCAUUAGUAUUCAAUUGUCAGAGGUGAAAUUCUUGGAUUUAUUGAAGACUAACUUCUGCGAAAGCAUUUGCCAAGGAUGUUUUCAUUAAUCAAGAACGAAAGUUAGGGGAUCGAAGACGAUCAGAUACCGUCGUAGUCUUAACCAUAAACUAUGCGACUAGGGAUCGGACGAUGU